UCCAACCUACAACAUAAAUCUCAGAAAAAUACCUGAUAAGGAGAUAGCGAAUAAUUGAAUAGUCUUCAAGAAUCUCGGAGAGAGCUGGAAAAACACGCUGUGGAGGUGCGAGUAAGGGAGGUAGAUAUGGUUUCUUUCUAUAAGGUUCGUUAGGAGGUGGAGGUGAGAAAUUCAUUAAUUAAUGAUUGAGACGCAUGUUCAGUGGGGUUGAGGAGGCAAAAUGUGUGUCGGGCGGGGCCCAUUUUGUUUUGGAAAUGAACUUCUAAGAAGGCGCGACAAGGUGCAGGGUUCUUUUUGUACAAGUUUUUCACUUUUUCUCCUCUUAUAUCUUCUUUGGAAAUAUGUGGAUAAAGUAAAAGUCAAAAAAGUAAUACAUAAUUUACUUCAAAUUUACACCUUUGUUUGAGUCCUAUUUUUUUUUUUUUUAUCAAAAUACAUUUUUACAUAGUGAUUUGAUUUCAAUUUCAUAUUUUUCAAUAAAUUAAAUAUUACACGCAAAUCUAAUUUUUUCUUAUUUUUUAACCACACAUUCUCCAUUAUAACAGUAUGACAAAAUGUAUUUUUUAUGAAAAGAAUGAGCUCAAACAACCCCUAUAUCAUCCAAUUAUUAAGCCUUUCAUCAAGGCUUUGUUUGGGAGAGAUUAAUUGAAAGGGUGAAAUUUGUUUUUUUUGGAGAAUUUGUAAUUAAAGUAAGAAAUUUUUUUAGGAAAACAAGUCAUUAGUGGAUGAAAUCAAUUGUAUAAAUUUUAUUCAAAUGCAAUAGCCGACUAUUGAAAUUAAUAACUAUAAGGCAAACGAUUUCAAUUUAUAAAAAAAAAAUUUCGUUUCAGAAUUUUCCAGUGGCUGAAAAAAAUGUUUAGCAACAUAAAAUCAGAUAUAUUAGUGAACUGCAGGCUAAAACUAUAAACGAUGAAUCUGUAAGCUGCACACUAUGGAACUACAAACUGCAUGAAUUCAAUAGUAAUGCCAAAAUAAUCUGAAGAAAUAAAUAGAAACUGAAACUACAAGGAUAAACUGAAUCUGCAAAGAAACUACACGAACUGCAAUGAAAUAAAUUUGCAGAAAGAAAACACAAAUUGCAACAAAUUUCAAAUCGAGAUCUGUGCGUGCACAGUUUUCUUAAGACAGUUUCACCCCUUCACCGUAGGUGCUGAAGGUUCAGUUCGAGCAGCUGUCUCCCAGAAUACAACGGUAAUAAGCAGAAUCCGAGCACUGCGGUCCUAUUUCGGCGAACUGCACGUGACUGGAAGGGAACAUAAACUACACUGUAUGGAAAUUGGAACCGGGAAAAAUGGCACUGCGUGGAAAACUGGGAAGAAUAUUUUCGUAUACAGAGAGAAAUUUUCGUUCGCGUAUUGAAUUGUUGGAGUGGGCGCCCUUAUAUAGAGAACGUUGUUCCAUCUUCAUUCCAAGAGAUCAGCUCAUCGGUGCUCGGAUCGUCCACCAAUUGAUACGUUUUCGUCAAAAACGGUGUCGGAACAGAUCUCUGCAAAUCACCGCCGCUACCAAUGCCUGCAGUCGACUCGCCGCUCUGCUCCACCGGCAAUGGUGACAUAUCACAUUCACAGCUACUAAAAUCCCAAAAUCAAUCAAGAAAUUCAAAAUAGUAUUAUUUUUUUCAUUUUACAGAAUUUCAUUAUAUUAACUAAAUUUGAGUUUAUUCCUGAUAAAAUUCCCCAAAAUUUAAUUUAUUUCACAAAAUUCCAAAAAAGGCUUAGCUAAAUAAUUCAGCUUUAUGUUGCUGCUUUGAGUGAAUUAUAAUGAUCAAAGCAACAACAAAGAAGCAUAAUUUGAAGCUAGGAGAACAUUUAAGAAAAUAAUCGGCGGAGGAAAAAAAACAUAGCAGCUGGAAGGGCAAAAUCAAUUACUUCGUGGAAUCGUGGUGAAUUAUAUCCAAUUCAAAAUUAUCAAAAAAAUGUAGCGAACACUGAUUGAUGAUUUAUUUUUCAUUUUAUUAUUAUUAUUAUUAUUAUUAUUAUUAUUAUUAUUAUUAUUAUUAUUAUUAUUAUUAUUAUUAUUAUUUUACUAUUUAAUGGAUGUUCUAAAAAUUCAGUUUUAUACUGCAGUGCUGAUUUGAAUUAAUAUUUAAGAUGGUAAAAAAAAAAAACAUAAUUUAAGUUAAGAACAUUUUCGAAAAUAAUCAUUCAAAAUUUGUUUAAAAAUAGCAAUUUCGGUAUUCAAAUCUAUGUUUCUUCGUAUCGAUCUAUAUAUAUUAUUCAAAGCCAACUUUCUCAGGAAAAAAACUUGAUAAACAAGCAGAAAAAUAAAACACGCUAUAAUAAUUCCAACGCGAUAAUAAUUCCAACCUACAACAUAAAUCUCAGAAAAAUACCUGAUAAGGAGAUAGCGAAUAAUUGAAUAGUCUUCAAGAAUCUCGGAGAGAGCUGGAAAAACACGCUGUGGAGGUGCGAGUAAGGGAGGUAGAUAUGGUUUCUUUCUAUAAGGUUCGUUAGGAGGUGGAGGUGAGAAAUUCAUUAAUUAAUGAUUGAGACGCAUGUUCAGU
rnacentral:lncRNA from 1 species